rnacentral:rRNA from 1 species
AUACAGAGGGUGCAAGCGUUAAUCGGAAUUACUGGGCGUAAAGCGCGCGUAGGCGGCUUUGUAAGUCGGAUGUGAAAGCCCUGGGCUCAACCUGGGAAUGGCAUUCGAUACUGCAGAGCUAGAGUAUGGUAGAGGGAAGUGGAAUUUCCGGUGUAGCGGUGAAAUGCGUAGAUAUCGGAAGGAACACCAGUGGCGAAGGCGACUUCCUGGGCCAAUACUGACGCUGAGGUGCGAAAGCGUGGGGAGCAAACAGGAUUAGAAACCCCAGUAGUCC